UGCAAGCGUUAAUCGGAAUUACUGGGCGUAAAGGGCUCGUAGGUGGCCAACUAAGUCGGACGUGAAAUCCCUCGGCUUAACCGGGGAACUGCGUCCGAUACUGGAUGGCUUGAGUUUGGGAGAGGGAUGCGGAAUUCCAGGUGUAGCGGUGAAAUGCGUAGAUAUCUGGAGGAACACCGGUGGCGAAGGCGGCAUCCUGGACCAACACUGACACUGAGGAGCGAAAGCCAGGGGAGCAAACGGG
rnacentral:rRNA from 1 species